rnacentral:tRNA from 4 species
CGGAAUUGGUAGACGCUACGGACUUAAAAUCCGUUGGCUUUAUAGACCGUGAGGGUUCAAGUCCCUCUAUCCCCA